AGCGAACGCUGGCGGCAGGCCUAACACAUGCAAGUCGAACGGAUCCUUCGGGAUUAGUGGCGGACGGGUGAGUAACACGUGGGAACGUGCCCUUUGGUUCGGAACAACUCAGGGAAACUUGAGCUAAUACCGGAUGUGCCCUUCGGGGGAAAGUUUUAUCGCCAUUGGAGCGGCCGGCGUCUGAUUAGCUAGUUGGUGAGGUAAAGGCUCACCAAGGCGACGAUCAGUAGCUGGUCUGAGAGGAUGAUCAGCCACAUUGGGACUGAGACGCGGCCCAAACUCCUACGGGAGGCAGCAGUGGGGAAUCUUGCGCAAUGGGCGAAAGCCUGACGCAGCCAUGCCGCGUGAAUGAUGAAGGUCUUAGGAUUGUAAAAUUCUUUCACCGGGGACGAUAAUGACGGUACCCGGAGAAGAAGCCCCGGCUAACUUCGUGCCAGCCGCCGCCGUAAUAC
rnacentral:rRNA from 1 species